AGAGGGUGCAAGCGUUAAUCGGAUUUACUGGGCGUAAAGCGUGUGUAGGUGGUCGGGAAAGUCAAUUGUGAAAGCCCAGGGCUUAACUCUGGAACUGCUUUUGAUACUGUCUGACUAGAAUUCGGUAGAGGGAGGCGGAACUCCAGGUGUAGCGGUGAAAUGCGUAGAUAUCUGGAAGAACACCAAUGGCGAAGGCAACCUCCUGGGCCUGAAUUGACACUGAGACACGAAAGCGUGGGGAUCAAACAGGGAUUAGAUACCCUGGUAGUCCACGCCGUAAACGAUGACAACUUGACGUCGGUUUGCUCUGCGAAUCGGUGUCGUAGCUAACGCGAUAAGUUGUCCGCCUGGGGAGUACGGCCGCAAGGUUG
rnacentral:rRNA from 1 species